AUGCGGGAUUAUUCGAUGCACGCGAGAACCUUACCAAGGCUUGACAUACACGAGAACGCCCUAUAAAUAGGGAACUCUUUGGACACUCGUGAACAGGUGGUGCAUGGUUGUCGUCAGCUCGUGUCGUGAGAUGUUGGGUUAAGUCCCGCAACGAGCGCAACCCUCGUUCUAUGUUGCCAGCGCGUAAUGGCGGGAACUCAUAGGAGACUGCCGGGGUCAACUCGGAGGAAGGUGGGGAUGACGUCAAAUCAUCAUGCCCCUUAUGUCUUGGGCUUCACGCAUGCUACAAUGGCCGGUACAAAGGGCUGCAAUACCGUAAGGUGGAGCGAAUCCCAAAAAGCCGGUCUCAGUUCGGAUUGAGGUCUGCAACUCGACCUCAUGAAGUCGGAGUCGCUAGUAAUCGCAGAUCAGCAACGCUGCGGUGWAUAYKUUCCCGGGCCUUGUACACAC
rnacentral:rRNA from 1 species